rnacentral:pre_miRNA from 1 species
UGAUGAUGAUGAUGGUGAUGGUGAUGGUGGUGAUGAUGAUGAUUACGAUGAGGAUCAUCAUCGUCAUCAUCAUCAUCAUCAUCAUCAUCAUCAUCAUCA